rnacentral:rRNA from 1 species
GUGUCAGCAGCCGCGGUAAGACGAACCGUGCGAACGUUGUUCGGAAUCACUGGGCUUAAAGGGCGCGUAGGCGGGUUCUCAAGUCUGGAGUGAAAGCCCACGGCUCAACCGUGGAAGCGCUUCGGAUACUGGGGGCCUCGAGGGAGGUAGGGGCGUGCGGAACUUCCGGUGGAGCGGUGAAAUGCGUAGAUAUCGGAAGGAACACCGGUGGCGAAAGCGGCGCGCUGGACCUCUUCUGACGCUGAGGCGCGAAAGCCAGGGGAGCAAACGGGAUUAGAAACCCUCGUAGUCC